UACGUAGGUGGCAAGCGUUGUCCGGAUUUACUGGGUGUAAAGGGCGUGCAGCCGGGUGAGCAAGUCAGGCGUGAAAUGCAGGGGCUUAACCCCUGAACUGCGUUUGAAACUGUUCAUCUUGAGUACCGGAGGGGCAAUCGGAAUUCCUAGUGUAGCGGUGAAAUGCGUAGAUAUUAGGAGGAACACCAGUGGCGAAGGCGGAUUGCUGGACGGCAACUGACGGUGAGGCGCGAAAGCGUGGGGAG
rnacentral:rRNA from 1 species